AGGGAAAGAAGCUGGGCUGACCUUAGUCAACAGUGGGGACACACUGCUCUAGGACUGAAAAAAAUAGGCACCCAAAUGUUCAGUGUCUACUUCUAGGUAAUGGAAUUGUUGAACUUCCUUUUCUUAUACUUAACUAUAUUUUAACAUGUCUCAGUAAAGAUGCUUUUAAUAAAAAUAAUU